ACGCUCGACACCUACGGGAGGUAGCAGUGGGGAAUAUUGCACAAUGGAGGAAACUCUGAUGCAGCGAUGCCGCGUGAGGGAAGAAGGUUUUCGGAUUGUAAACCUCUGUCUUUGGGGACGAUAAUGACGGUACCCAAGGAGGAAGCUCCGGCUAACUACGUGCCAGCAGCUGCGGUAAUCUGAGCGGGCUGGCAAGGC
rnacentral:rRNA from 1 species